AUUCUGUUUGAUAGCCAAGGAUGACUUGCCCACUCCACUACUAAUUAGAGGCUGAUUAAGGCUUUAAUUUUUUGGAUUUGGGCAGUUAUCUUUGGUUAUGAGACAGAUUCU
rnacentral:pre_miRNA from 9 species